AAUAACCAAUUCCCCCACUUCCUAUGCGAGUGGAGAGAAAAGAGAAGAUACGAUAAGUAACUUCCACUUCAUUGAUAUUUCCCCUCAGUCCAGGUCCUCUCCUCCCACCGCUCCUGCCAGAUCCUCUCCCGUGCGCGAGUAAUACGCCCUUUCCAGAUCUCUCCUACUGCUACGCCCCUGCCAGAUCCUCUCUUUCCGCUACGCCCCAGCCGCCGCUGGCACGCGCCUUCCCAAUCUUGUGUACGCAUCUCUCGUUUGGUCCUCAGUCUCAUCUAUUUAUCUGUGUCAAGGUCGCCAUAUUGUUCAGCCGAUUGUGCUUCGUUCUCCGCACUGGCGUUAUGGUGGUUUCAGAUGAUUUCGGUUCAUCAAUUAUCUGCAGGGCGAGCCGGUAAACCAUCGAUGGGCACCACUGUGUGCAGCGACACCAUUGGAGAUUCAGUUCAGCUCUGGAGAUAUUUCAGUUACUCUCUGACCCUACCCAAUAUCUGCACUUAUUAAUUGGUUGGCUUGAUCCGUUCAAUUUUUUCAGCUGAUGUGCUUGGUGGAUCCCUGCUGUACUCCUGCCGUUCCUGCCCGUGCCCAUCAACCAAGGGUACGUUCACUCGCAGAUCCCCUACCAGGAAUGCCAACAUCCAACCAUCGGCCCCACAUGGAUUCUUCCUUAAUCUGGUUUAGUUAAAAGAUCAAAAGCACUAAGCUACUUGGUAUAAGAUGGCCCUCCGACUAAGCUCUUCUCAACGAGUGUGGCAGCCUCGGAAGAUUUAUUGGAUCUGGAAGAGGACAUGCAAAAAUCUUAUAUAUGAUAGGAAGAGUUCUCGUUUUCUUGUUGUUCAUUUGACCUCGCCGUUUAGAUAAGAUAAUCUCAAUUUCCUUAUACUUUUAAGAAGUGGUCAGAUUAAUUAUCUCAUGGCCUUCAACCAUUCUAUAUUGCAGCAAUUUUAAAUUUCACUAUUUUAUUCACUUGUUAUUUUUGUCUCGCUAAUGUUAAGUUGCUUAUCUCAAUUUGGUGUUUUUGUAGGUUGGCAAAAUAUUUGGAUGAUACAUGGUUAUGAUGCUGCGAUCAAGUUUCAACAAUGGUGCUGCUACCAUAUAGUUGUAAACUAUGAUUUAGAAUGACAUUUUGACACAUAUGCAGCUUGUAUUCGUUGAAUCAUGAUCUAUGUAAAGCUACAGAGUUGAUUUAAUAUAUGAGUUUUUUAUGUUUA